rnacentral:rRNA from 1 species
AUUGAACGCUGGCGGCAGGCCUAACACAUGCAAGUCGAACGAGUGGCGGACGGGUGAGUAAUAUGUGGGAAACUGCCCGAUGGCGGGGGGUAACUACUGGAAAAGGUAGCUAAAACCGCAUAGCACCGGAUGUGCCCAGAUGGGAUGAGCUUGUAGGUGGGGUAAGGGCUCACCUAGGCGACGACCACUAGCUGGUCUGAGAGGAUGACCAGCCACACGGGAGAUGAGACACGGUCCAGACUCCUACGGGAGGCAGCAGUGGGGAAUAUUGCACAAUGGGCGCAAGCCUGAUGCAGCCAGGCCGCGUGUAUGAAGAAGGCCUUCGGGUUGUAAAGUACUUUCAGCGGGGAGGCGUUACCCGCAGAAGAAGCACCGGCUAACUCCGUGCCAGCAGCCGCGGUAAUAC